AAUCCAUGUUGUGGGCACCUCCGCAAAAGAUCCUUAAAGGGCUCCCAUGUCUCAAACAAUGAUUCUAACUCCAUCUUUAAAAAUGACGAUAUCUCAUUGCAAAGCUU